rnacentral:sRNA from 1 species
GAGUGUGAAGCACAAGGGAUUGAUUGAAAUACCCAGUCUUUCUGAGGAAAAUGAAGUAUCUGACACAGAGGUGAACGUGAGUAAAAAGAAAGGAGAUGGGGAUAUACUGAAGGAUCUUACGAAAACUGCAGGCACUGCCAAGGUCAGGGAGGCCCUUGGAGAUUACCUGAAGGCACUUAAGACAGAAUUUACAACGGGAAUGAUUUUACCAACGAAAGCUAUGGCAACCCAGGAAUUGACUGUCAAAAGAAAACUGAGUGAGAAUACCCUGCAGGUUCAGGCUUCAUCUCCAGUGGCACUGGGUGUAAGGAUUCCCACUGUGGCUCUUCACAUGAUGGAACUGUUUGACACAACUGUAGAGCAGCUCUAUAGCAUCUUCACUGUAAAGGAUUUAACAAGUAAGAUCAUCAUGAAAUGGAGAUGCAGGAACUGGCCAGAAGAACACUAUGCCACGGUUGCACUGAAUUUUGUGCCUACUCUAGGGCAAACAGAAUUACAAUUGGACUGUAAAGGAGUUCCUAUCUGUAAAGAAGAGAACAUGAAAUUCUGUUGGCAGAAGCAGCAUUUUGAAGAAAUAAAAGGUUUACUGCAGCUGACCCCCCUAAAUGGUUGAAUUAAAAUUUUAUAAGGCA